rnacentral:rRNA from 1 species
GGUGAACGCUGGCGGCGUGCUUAACACAUGCAAGUCGAACGAUGAAGCCCAGCUUGCUGGGUGGAUUAGUGGCGAACGGGUGAGUAACACGUGAGUAACCUGCCCUUAACUCUGGGAUAAGCCUGGAAAACUGGGCCUAUUACGGGAAGGGGGCUCCCCCGACUGGUGGGGUUUGGGAAGGUUUUUCGGUUUUGGAUGGACUUCGCGCCCAAUAGCUUGUUUGUGAGGUAAUGGCUCACCAAGGCGACGACGGGUAGCCGGCCUGAGAGGGUGACCGGCCACACUGGGACUGAGACACGGCCCAGACUCCUACGGGAGGCAGCAGUGGGGAAUAUUGCACAAUGGGCGCAAGCCUGAUGCAGCGACGCCGCGUGAGGGAUGACGGCCUUCGGGUUGUAAACCUCUUUCAGUAGGGAAGAAGCGAAAGUGACGGUACCUGCAGAAGAAGCACCGGCUAACUACGUG